GAUGAACGCUAGCUACAGGCUUAACACAUGCAAGUCGCGGGGCAGCAUGGGGGUUGCUUGCAAUCCCCGAUGGCGACCGGCGCACGGGUGAGUAACGCGUAUCCAACCUGCCCUUCACCACGGGAUAACCCGGCGAAAGUCGGACUAAUACCGUAUGUUGUCCAUUGACGGCAUCCGAUUUGGACGAAAGGUUUGGCGGGGAAGGAGGGGGAUGCGUCCAAUUAGCUGGACGGCGGGGUGACGGCCCACCGUGGCGACGAUCGGUAGGGGUUCUGAGAGGAAGGUCCCCCACACUGGAACUGAGACACGGUCCAGACUCCUACGGGAGGCAGCAGUGAGGAAUAUUGGUCAAUGGGCGUAAGCCUGAACCAGCCAAGUAGCGUGCAGGAUGACGGCCCUAUGGGUUGUAAACUGCUUUUAUGCGGGGAUAAAGUGGCCCACGUGUGGGUUUUUGCAGGUACCGCAUGAAUAAGGACCGGCUAAUUCCGUG
rnacentral:rRNA from 1 species